CAUAUCUUCCCUCUUUAAGAUCCUCUGGGCCCCUGUUUCCUUCAGACCCCUUAGCCUGGUACAGAAGACAUUGCCAGCCUCUCCACUGGAACCUUCCCAUGUAUGAUCAUCACGAACUACUUAUUCAAAAUUCCCAGAAAGAGUCAUGCUUUCUCAUGUCCUCGUGACUGUGCAUAUAUAUGAUGCUUUCCUACCUGGCAUGCCUUUCCCAGAACUCUUAGGAAACACCUCCUGACAAGUUGAGGCUUAUUUAGCCUCACCUCCUCCAGGAAGCCUUCCAUACUGGCCCUUCCCAAGGCUGAGUUAAGGGUUUCUCCUCUACACCCCCUACGUCCCGCCAAUAACUCCCAGAGUUCCCCUCUGGCUCAGCACUUAUUUGUGUCUACAUGACUAGGCUCAGAUCCCUUUGGAGGUGGGGACCACAUCUAAUUCAUUUCUUUCUUUCUUUCUUUUUUUUUGUUUUUUCUUUUUACAGCCACACCUGCAGCAUAUAGAAGUUUCCAGGCUAUGGGUUGAAUCGGAGCUACAGCUGAGGCCUACACCACAGCCAUGGCCACACUGGAUCCAAAAUGCAUCUGCGACCUACACCACAGCUUGUGGCAAUGCUGGAUCAUUAACCUACUGUGCGAGGCCAGGGAUUAACCCACUGAGUGAGACCACGUCCUCACAGAGACUACAUCAGGUUCUUAAGCUGCUGAGCCACAGCAGGAACUCCCUGAGUUACCAGCCUCUGGCACUGGACUUCUUUGUGGCCUAAGAGGCAUACAAUAUGUAUUUUCUGGGUAAAAUCUAUACGUGAAUGACAACUGGGCCCAGGUACACUGAACGCUGGUCACCUGUCUGGCUUCAGGGGCUCCACUGAAACACAGCUGGGCAUAGCAACCUCUGCAGCGGGUAGAGAACAGGUGUCUGAAUUAGAGCGAGAGUACUGAAGGCUCAGGAAGAAAGCAAGUCAGACUGAAGGACUGAUCACCUAUUGUGCUUGAAGCUUCCAGAAAUACCUACAUUCCCAGAUGGGUGAAUGUGCUUAGAAUAUGAAGUCUAUAGCAUUAAACACUUAACUUCAGCAAAAGGAAUAAGUUGUACAAAAGCAGAAAUGCAAUCAUAAUAUUAUAUGGUUUGGCUGUGAUCUAUGUGGUCACAAGACUAAAUGCUAAAUCUAACCAGAAAUCAUGUUGUAACUAGAUCGGGAAGUUGGGAUAAGAUGAAGUGGCUUUGUAGGGAAGAGAGUUGAAUCCUUCUUGUCCAUCAUAAGCCAGUCAAUAGGACAUAUCUCAAAACACAGUAUUUAGAAACAUGGAGGAGUUCCCGCUGUGGCACAGCAAGACUGGCAAGGUCUCUGCAGUGCUAGGUCACAGGUUUGACUCCUAGCCUGGCAUAGUAGUUUGAAGGAUCCUGCAUAUAUGGUGGUCUAGGUCACAGCUGCCGGCUCGGAUCUACUCUUUGGCCUGGGAACUCUAUAGGGUGUGGGGCAGCCAAAAAAAAAAAAAAAAAGAAAGAAAGAAAGAAAUAUGGAAGAAAUACUUGUUGGUGGCUGCCUCUGGGCAGUGAGAUUUGGGGAUAGAGGAGGAUGAGGCUGGAGAACAGGCCUUAUAGAACUAUCUGACUUUUUGUACAUGAUGUUGGUGAAACACGUGUAUCGUUUUUAAAAUAUCGCUUGUGGUUUGAAGGCAGGAACCUGUCGUGAGGCAAGCAUCUCUGUCCAAUCAGCCUGACUAAUCUCCUGAAACACCACUUGCACAGUCCGUGCCAGCCCUCCCAGCCCCGGAACCAGACUGGGCUGGGCCGCCUCCCCUGCCCUCGGUGACCCGACCCUGCCUCCCAUGCACAACGCCCUUUGCUCCCACUGACCAGCCUCCUCCCAUUUCUCCUGCAGACACAGCUUCUCCCGCCUUGGCUUGGCUCAGGCCGUGCCCUCUGCCUCCUGGUUAAUAGCUUUCCACUCUUUGGCCUUCCCAGCUCUCCCCUCUGACACUCAGGCCAGCUGGGACAAGCACGUGCUUUUGCCAGCCGGCACGGCAGAUGUCAGAGCGAUGCCAUCUCUGCUGCCUAGGUCUGAAGAAGAAGGCUUGAGGUACCCACACCAGGCCCAUCCCUAUUAUCCCAGCCAAGGACCUCUCUGAGUCUGUUUCCUCACCCUGAAAAAUCAGGAUCUUCAGGUCCACUUGCCAGGAUGUUCUGAGGGUGGGCGGACGUGAUGUCUGUGGGAGGGCUCAGGCAGACCCCCCCCCACACACACACUUUCCAUCCCCCGCUUUCAGACACGUCCUGUCCAAUAGUAGCGGCAGCUGCAGUAGGAGCUCAUUAUUGGAGUGUUUACCUGUCAGCACUGCCCUAAAUCAUGCAUCCUCUCAUUUAAGCCCAACAGUGGGUAACAGGACCACCAUUUCACAGGUGAGGAAAUGGGGGCUCAUCCAGGGUAACUUGCAGGUGAAUCUACCUGUCACCCCACACAUUAGACCACAGGGAGCUCAAAGGCAAGGAGAAUCGUCCACUCGUACACAUAGGGGUGUGUCGAGUAGCCAAAGGUCCAUCAACAGAAGAAUGGAUAAACAAGAUGUGGUACCUACACCCAAAGCUGCAUUAUUCAGCCUUAAAAAGCUAAGAACUUCUGACACAUGCGGCAACACAGAUGAACCUUGAAAGCAUGAUGCGAAGUGAAAUAAGCCAGUCACAAAAAGACAAACAUUAUACGAUGCCACUGAUGGAGGGGUCCUAGAGCAGUCAAGUUCAUAGACACAGAGCGUAGAAUGUGGUUCUCAGGGACUAGGGUGGGAGGAUGAAGAGUCAGCGUUUAACGGUACAGAGUUUCAUUUUGGGAAAAUGGAAAGUUCCAGAGAUGGAUCAUGGUGAUGGCUGCACAAAAACGUGAAUAUGUUUAAUGCCGCGCACGAACUAUACACUUAAAAAUGGUUAAAAUGUUAAAUUUUAUGUUAUAUAUUUUACCAUAAUGAAUUUUUUUUAAUAUAGUUAGAAGCAAAAAGUAGAAUAGGACCUAAGGGAGGAGGGAAGGAUGAAUUAUUUUUCAUGCUUACAGAAGUUUUGUUGGAGGUGACAAAAGUUUUGGUUAUAGAUAGCAGUGAUGAUUAUACCACAUUGAGAAUGCAUUUAAUGCCACUGCAUCGGACACUUAUGAAUGGUUGCAGUGAUACAUAUUAUUUUAUGAAUAUUUGACCACGCACACACUCAAGGAAGGGAGGUCCUGUUCUUUUUCUAUCUCUCUGGACCCAGAGGCUCAAGCAGGACCUGGCACACAGUUGGCACUCAAGUGCGUUUGUCCAGCAAACGCUCUGCAUAAUACAUUUGGAAAAGAAUAUUUUUUUUUUCUUUUUUAGGCCACACUCAUGGCAUAUGGAGGUUCCCAGGCUAGGGGUCCAAUCAGAGCUGUAACUGCCGGCCUACACCACAGCCGCAGCAACACGGGAUACAAGCUGUAUCUGUGACCUACCCCACAGCUCAUGGCAACGCCCCAUCCUUAACCCACUGAGCGAGGCCAGGGAUCGAAGCCGUGUCCUUGUGGAUACUAGUCGGGUUCGUUAACUGCCGAGCCAUGAUAGGAACUCCAAGAAUAUUUUUUUAAAAAAAGAGUGUACACAAUUUUUUAAAGAGUUUGGAUUUGAAUAAACUGCAUUUGGAAGGAAGCAGAAGCCUUCAGCCUGGGCGAGAGGAACAGGAUCAGGGCUCUGCCUGAAGUCAGGUCUGUGGCCACUUCCAGCUUCCCUGUGGUCAAAAGUUCCACGGAUGUGUGGAAUCCCCCAAGACAGAGACAGAAACUAACAACAUAAUUAGAAAGCUGCUAUUAAUUGCUAGGCAUUUUACACUCAUAUAAUAAGAGCUAGCAAUUAUUGAGUACUUAUUCUGUGCUAGAUGCAAUUCUAAAAGUUUUCACGCCUAACAAUCCCUCCGAGGUGGCUACAAUUAUAAUCCCCAUUUUGUGAUGGAGGAAACGGGAACACAGAGAGAUUAAAUAACUUGUUAAAGGUCACACAGCCAAAUCACCAUGAAACCCAGACUUGCCUCCAGGCGGUCUGGUUUGCUUAAAGACCAGGGUUUGUGCUUCUGCUUAAAGAAAGACCAGGGUUCAUGCUUCUUCAUGAUGCCUGGCAUUUCUGCGUUUCUCCAAGUCCCGGCCAGCGGGGAAGGCACGGAGAGGGCCUUCAAAGGGAGAGGGAAAGUGAGGAGCAGGACUUUGGAGGCAGGAAUAUGGGCUCUACUUUGGGCAGCAACCAGCCUCGGGCAUCACCCCGACUGGGUCCAAGGCCAGCUUUUGUUGAUUGCCUGGCCCUGGACAAGCUACUUCACCUCUCUAGUCCUGUGCCCUCCUCUGUAAUUUGGCUAUAGCAACAGUAUCUGUCUCAUGGGGUUUUGUGGGGGUUACAUAAAUUAGUAAGCAUGCACCUCAGUGAGUCUGCUGCUGGGUGGGGAUGGGGGAGGUGGGAGUUGGAACGGUGCUCUGGAUUGACCGACGACUUCCUGGAAUGAUCUUGGGCAAUUUCCCUUCCUCUCUGAGCCCCACUGAUCUCAGUGAUGAAACAUAAUUACUAAAACCAACCCCACAGGUUUGUUGUGAGGAUUAAACACACUCUGCAUUUUGUAUGUGUAUCUAUUUAUAGCUCUAAUCCAUUCUCCAAAAAGUAUUUUAGGCAGCUAACAAUAAUACUCCUGUAUUUAACUGGAAAAUGAAGAACUGGAAC
rnacentral:lncRNA from 1 species